UACGAAGGGGGCUAGCGUUGCUCGGAAUUACUGGGCGUAAAGCGCACGUAGGCGGCUUUCUAAGUCGGGGGUGAAAUCCUGGAGCUCAACUCCAGAACUGCCUUCGAUACUGGAGAGCUCGAGUCCGGGAGAGGUGAGUGGGAACUGCGAAGUGUAGAGGUGAAAUUCGGUAGAAUAUUUCGCAAGAACACCAGUGGCGAAAGGGCAGACCUCAGCCU
rnacentral:rRNA from 1 species